UACGGAGGGGGCUAGCGUUGUUCGGAAUUACUGGGCGUAAAGCGCGUGUAGGCGGUUGCCCAAGUCGGGUGUGAAAGCCUUGAGCUCAACUCAAGAAAUGCACUCGGUACUGGGUGACUAGAGGACCGGAGAGGAUAGUGGAAUUCCCAGUGUAGUGGUGAAAUACGUAGAGAUUGGGAAGAACACCAGUGGCGAAGGCGGCUAUCUGGACGGUUUCUGACGCUAAGACGCGAAAGCGUGGGGAGCAAACAGG
rnacentral:rRNA from 1 species